GACAAUCUGGCCGAGUGGUUAAGGCGGCAGACUCGAAAUCUGCUGGGUUCGCCCGCACAGGUUCAAAUCCUGUGGUUGUCG
rnacentral:tRNA from 1 species